UACGGAGGAGGCAAGCGUUAUCCGGAAUUAUUGGGCGUAAAGCGUCCGUAGGUGGCUCUUCAAGUCUGCUGUCAAAGAGUGGGGCUUAACCCUGCAAAGGCAGUGGAAACUGAAAGGCUAGAGAGCCGUAGGGGUAGAGGGAAUUCCCGGUGUAGCGGUGAAAUGCGUAGAGAUCGGGAAGAACACCGGUGGCGAAGGCGGUUCUCUGGGCAUUACCUGACGCUGAGGAGCGAAAGUGUGGGGAGCGAACAGG
rnacentral:rRNA from 1 species